rnacentral:lncRNA from 1 species
AGUUCUGCUAGUUUAGUUACAUAAAUUCUGAUUUGUGUAAAGUAAGAUUUAUACCUUUCUGUUUUUCUAGAAGCUGUUUGUGCAGAGAGUGUGUAUAACUUCUUUGGGUGACCUACAGCAGAGCAGGACCUGUUGGUUGCAGCUGCAGUAUCCGACACUGCUGAGUUUUAUUUUCAAUUGCCCAGAGCACAGAAUGCUUUUUCCCACAGUUGGAGGAUGAUGAACUGCUUUGUGAUCUCUCUGGAGUGUGGAGUCUGAUGGGGUAACUGGACAGUGUCAGACACAGUACAGCAACUUUGUGCUCUUCUGCUCAGACCAAGAAAUGAGUUCUGAGAAAUAAUCAGAUCCUUACUUCUGAAAUGUGGCAGAGAAUUGUAUGAUUCAGGGCUUGGACAGCCCAGUCCACAGAAGGACAUCAAGAAUGAGGCUCACUGGCAGUUUCAGAGUAACAAGAGUAACAAGUGAUGAUGAUCUUUCUCCACACAAUGACAUCUUUAAGGGCCAGAGAGAAAAUUACAGUCAAAACCAUGUGCAUUCAGGCAAUUUAGACAAUUUUCUGUGUGCAGACAAAAUCCCUGGAUUUCUCCUCAGUGUUUAUCAAGGUAGGCUUCACAAAGUAUUUCAGAAAUCCCUUCCUUCCUUCCUUCCUUCCUUCCUUCCUUCCUUCCUUCCUUCCUUCCUUCCUUCCUUCCUUCCUUCCUUCCUUCCUUCCUUCCUUC